rnacentral:rRNA from 1 species
GAAUUUUGGACAAUGGGGGCAACCCUGAUCCAGCCAUCCCGCGUGUGCGAUGAAGGCCUUCGGGUUGUAAAGCACUUUUGGCAGGGAAGAAAAGCCGCGGGUUAAUACCCUGCGGUGCUGACGGUACCUGCAGAAUAAGCACCGGCUAACUACGUGCCAGCAGCCGCGGUAAUACGUAGGGUGCAAGCGUUAAUCGGAAUUACUCGGCGUAAAGCGUGCGCAGGCGGUUCGGCAAGAAGGAUGUGAAAUCCCGGGGCUUAACCUCGGAACUGCAUUCUUAACUGCCGGGCUAGAGUAUGUCAGAGGGGGGUAGAAUUCCGCGUGUAGCAGUGAAAUGCGUAGAGAUGCGGAGGAAUACCGAUGGCGAAGGCAGCCCCCUGGGAUAAUACUGACGCUCAUGCACGAAAGCGUGGGGAGCAAACAG